CGUCGCAAAAAAACCCUAGCCCAUUCCCGUCCGCAUCCCUGCUGCCGCCGCCGCCGCCCUUCCAAUUCCCUCUGCUCCUGCUGCUUCCCUCCACCUCUCCCUCAUCCACGCCGUCAGGGGCGCCCCUCAAGCCCCACCUCGUCGGUUCCCCACCUGGGCUCCUUCUCCCCCACCCCGGGCGAGCACCGGACAGGCAGAGGGAGUGCCUUGGUCGAGGGACAACGAGGCUCGCCGGCUGGGCGACUUCGAGCGCUGGAGGCUAGACAGGCAGAGGCAGGGGCGGAUCCAUGUGGGGGCAUGGGUGCCGUCGCGCCAUCAAAGGCCUCCACGGCGCCCUCUACCAGGUCACCUCUCUCCAAGAUCUCCUUUUUACCCAUGUUUUUACCACUCUCCAAGCUCGCACUAUUGCUCCGGAAAAUUCCCUUUGGAAUUGGGGAUGAGGCAAAUCGAUUUCGAUUGAUUGGCGCCACGCAGACGACGGGCGUGGGACGGUGCAGGAGGCGUGCCGCGUUUGAGAGCCACUGUGGAUUAUCUUCGAGGUGUCAGGCGACAUUCGCCUCGAGACCUACCUCCGGGUCUCUUCCCACAUGACCAUUGACGGGCGCGGGUAGCGGGUCAGGCUCACCGACAAGGCGCCGCUUGCCUCUGAACUUGUGAUGUCCGGCCAUUGCAUCUGGGAGGAGCUCCUCUUCAGGAAGAAUGCCGAGACGUACGACACUGCUGCGACUGUCGUUCUCGUCCGCGUUUUGACUACACUUCCAGGCAACUGCGAAGGCAAAAUCUACAUGUGAGAAGUGCAGAUGAGCCCCGCUGUGCUAAUUACCCGUAUUCUGAAUUGGCUGCUGAAGUACAUAAGUGAAGUCUAUUGGUGAAGGAGAUGUGAAGAAUGAUAUAGAGCAAGUAGAUAAAAACCGCAGUUGUUGGCCCAAGGUAGGCUCCUUCACUCAGAGUAUAUGUUGGGACGGUUUCUUGUUCGACAUCAAUUUCUGGUUGGAGAUUGAACUGUAUUCCAGUUUGAUUAUGUGAUUACAUCAAAUUUGUGCAUAUUAACUGAAAUGUGUAAUGCUACAAAGUAGAUAGGUUUUCCUAGCAUUUUACCACGGGGCGUCUCUUUUGUUUGUUUUCUGCCCCUUGUCUUGUACAUUCUCCAUUUAAUGACAUAUGGAUGGCUAACCAACCAUUUUUGUUUGUUUAUAACAGUUUUACAUGAGUAUUCCUACAUAUAGGAUAAUACCCUUCUGGUGCUAAUCAAGGAUUUGAUAUUCCGUUAGCUUUGGUUAACCUGCCUGAGUUAGUGCCUACACGAGGAGCUGAACAAAAAUGCAAUGGGGGGAGCCCAUCUUAGAAUUGUUUUCCCUUUUCUCGCAAUAGCUUUCAUUUUGCAGUAUAUUAGCUAAUUCUGCGCAGGAUGAUUACAUAUGCAACAUUUGUAAAGGAGUAGACUUGUUAAAAGUUUCAACUAAUAUUAUAUGAUGCCUGCUGGAUUAUUUUCUUGUCAAACUGAAAUUUAAAUGUCCCAAUACUAUGUUCUAUUCCAAUUUCAAACUAAUUUCCUUGUUGUGGGUUGCAUACACGAACUGUAAUGCAUUUCAUUUGUGUUAAAUAAUACGAGUACGAAUAAACACUUGCUAAUGGAGCAAACCAGCCAAGUGAAUGCUUCUUGUUAUAACCAGUUCAUCCAAUGGAGCGUGCAUACCGGUUACAUGCAUAUCCAUGUUCCAUACACAAUGCAAAGCAAGACUGCAAACACACUAACAAAUCCGAC
rnacentral:rRNA from 1 species